UAAAAAAAAAAGUAAAUAGGGAAAAGUUGUUUUUUUUGAAAAAAAUUUCCAAAAGCAUAAUUGAAUCUAUUUAAGACUAUUAUUGUCACUUGUCUUGAUUUCCUCAGACAAGUUUUGAAUUAUUACCUUUAACUUUAAUUGAUUUUCUAGAGUUGCGACUGUUCUUACACCCUGUUUCACGCUUGUCUGGAUCUACCCGUUGAUCUCGCUCCUGUCACCUCAAAUCAUUUGACGAAGACAGUAAUGCGGAAGUACCAGGGAGGGAGCGGAGAGGAGAGAGUCGCGGUCGUGAGCGUCGGAGGUUAAAGAGCAGCGAUCGACGCUGACGGAGGCGGAGGAAAAGAGGC